UACGUAGGUGACCAGCGUUGUCCGGAUUUACUGGGCGUAAAGAGCGCGCAGGCGGUCGUUCAAGUCGAGUGUGAAAGCCCCCGGCUCAACUGGGGAGGGUCACUCGAUACUGAUCGACUUGAAGGCAGGAGAGGGAAGCGGAAUUCCUGGUGUAGCGGUGAAAUGCGCAGAUAUCAGGAAGAACACCCGUGGCGAAGGCGGCUCUCUGGUACGUGACUGACGCUGAGACGCGAAAGCGUGGGGAGCGAACAGG
rnacentral:rRNA from 1 species